UGCACAACAGCUGGAUGUUCCUGUACCCCCUCCCAUUCUUCCAGUUGAGAAUCAACAUCAGCUGUGGCUUUGUGCAGAGGCACAGAGUGGGAUCAAGGCUGAUUUAGCAUUUCAUUCAGCUGAUAUGAAUAUGUAAUUAUAAUUAGGAGCUCCAGGGUCCAUCAGCACAUGUAUGAGCCUGGAAUUUAGGUUGUGUUUUGAUGUAUUAUACCUCUCAACUCCCCGGUGGGUAAUAAACCUGCAAGCCAAGAAAAGCCAGAGGUGAGAACUUUGUCUGGAGGUACUGCAGGGCUUCCCUGGAGGUCCUUCAAACAGUGAAUCAUCAAUGUUGAAAUGCUUGCAGCUGAAUUCCCAGCUCAGGCUCAGCUACAGAAAAUUGAAGGCAAAUUAUGCAAUUGAAUUGUCUGUUCAGGGUGCCUGGUGCUUGACAGACCUCUAAAAUUGGGGUAUCAAAAAAUACUGAGGGCACAGAGUCUGGCUGGCCCUAAUUCUGCUGUAUGCCAAGGACUUUUUAAGAUCUCCCAAGUAUCAUCUUUUCUGCCCAAAGUCAAUGGGGGACACUGGCUAGUGAUCAAGGAAGGGCAAGAGAGUCCAGAGCUGCUCACCUGGCACUGGGCUCCCAGACUGUUCCUUCCUGAGGUGGGAGCUUGUAUUUCAUGAGAGGGCUCAGCUCUCGUUUGGAACAGAAACUGUUGUGCCCCAUAAUACAGCCUUCAUCUAUGGUCUCACAGCACAGAGAAAAGAAAUCCUGAUUAAAUCUGACAAUUUCAAUUGGUUAUGAGAACAUCAUGGGCUAUUUUGUUUCCCCAGAAGCUUGCUGGAAUUUACCUUGGAAGUUUUGUGAGUGCUUCAGGUGUCUCAGGCAGGGAUGAGUGUGGGAACUGCUGGAGUCAUCUGUUUGGAGCUGAUGAGGAGCUGAGUUGUUCCUGUGCUUUGGAGUCCAGGGGUGCUGAGCUCCUGCACCCAGCCAUGGCCAGGGGGUUCCUGUGAGUGCAGCAGUUGAGAACAAACAAACCAACAAAAACCCAGGCCUGCAGGCCUCAAGGGGAUUGUUCCAGCCCUGACUGCCAUCACCCCUUUAACUCCUGGCACCUGCUGCCUGCUCACAUUAAAAGGUUCAAACCCAGCAAUGAAGACACAGUUUCUGCAGUGAGGAGCUGGGUGUUGACUUGGUAACACUGGCAGAGAAAGGAGUAACACCUGAGACUGAUGAACACUGGAUGAAAGCUCCUGUGUGCUUCAGCUGUGGCUUUCACCAAGGUAAAACAUAAAACCUUCAUCAGAACUGCAAAAUCAAUGAGUUUAUCUUGAAUAUUUCAGUGAAAGAACCAUUAUUUCUGCAAGUUAGUUAUUUUUGUUCUUUAUUUACACUAUUUGAAGGAGUGGAAUACAUCACUUGCACUUGUUACCUUUAAAAAGCUUUCUUGAAAAUGCAAAAAAGUCUGGUUUGCCUGAUUCAUCUUAUUAUUAAUGUUCAGUAUUUCCAGUGGGUUAUCUACAGCUCACUAAGCAGGCAGACAUAGUUUCAUAAGGAGUAUUCUUCAGUGCAAUAGGGAUAAAUCUAAAGCAAAAAAUGUCAUUUCAGUAUGGUAAUUGCAGCAACUUUGUAUUAUUUUAGCUCAGCAUGGUUGCAAAUACAAAUAUGCCAAAAAAGAACCAGGAGAAAUGGUACAUUUAAACACAACAUUUUUAAAAGGCAUAGUCACUUACUUGUGUUAAAAUCUACUCAUCUAUAGGCCUGGAAGUACUUAGAACGCUCAGGUUUUUGAACAACUGACUGACUUUAAAAAAAUAAAAAGAGUGGUGAAAAGAAAUCUUUUCGUUGAAGAAAUGUGAAAGUAACAUUUUUGGCAGGCUGCUUUGGGUGAUGUCAUUCUCUAGAAUGUGCUAAAGUCUGGUAUUUUACAACAAGAAGUGAUUUCUCAAGGCAGGCAGAGCCUAUGGGCACUUAGUGCUGCUCUCAACUUCAGCCAGCCAAGACCUGUGCAUCUUUACACCCUGUUUGAUGCAAUAAACCAUGCACACACCCAAACACGGCACUCAGGCUUUAUUAAAAUAAUAUGUAAAUACAUUUAAAUGUACCUUUACAUGCUUGAAAUCCUUUUGUUGUAUGGGUUUUUCUCUUGGCUGAGUAUCUCCUCAAUGCCAGUGUUGGGUAUUCAUUGCCUUCUGUAUUAAGUGUUAAAGUGAUUGGAUUCUGUGUAAAUUAUCCAAGAGGGAGCAAAAAUCCAGUCAUCUUUGGAGUCUUAAAGGAUUGUCCCAUUAAGGGCCAAUAAAUGUAGAUCACUUAUGUGAAAA